UUGUUUUUUUUAUGUUAAGGAAACACAACUAGCAACCACCCUGAAGCUAACCAAGCCUCCCUACAAGAGCCAUGCCCAUGACCUUGCCUUAUUUUUAAUGCGAAGAUCUCUUCAAGAGAUUAAGCCUCAUUACCAUAAUCUGCAGUGUACCAGCCUCUCCCUUUUGAAUAUUCAUUCCCUAACCAAAUAGAAGUUCCUCCUUCCCUCUGUUCAGGGAUGCCAUGACUUUGGAGAUGAUUCCUCAUGGCCUGCUAUUUGCUGCAAGUACACUUCACUUUGUGAGACAACUUGCAGUGGUGUAGAGUCUUAUUUAACUCAUCAGGAGGUGAGCCCACUUGGUUUGGUAACAAAUUGGUGACCCAGAGGGGACAUACCCCUUUGUGGUGCCUGUGCUGCUGGCUUGACGUUGCUGCCCCAUUGGGAGACCCAGCCGUUGAACUGAGCACUUUGUUCGGAGGAUCACUCCGUGGAGGUGAGUGGAUAUGGGUUGAUUUGUAUCAGCAAUAGAGCAUUUCUGGAACCUCAACUGCAAUUAAAAUCACCACCUGAUAACAUUUGUGAUAACCUUCAUUCUCCAAGAUUCAUCUGUCUUCUGCACAGGCCAAAUAGAGUUGAAGAGGCAGAACACAAAGAAAGCAGGAUAAGAACUUGUUGGUGAAUGUCUCAGAAAUUAACAGAGGUACGGAAUUUGAUCGUGUGGUAUCAGAAAAUGAACCAGCUCACGUCAGCAGUGCUGAAUUCUACACACAACUCAAGAUGAAAGAGAACUGAGACGAGGUCAUUGGUAAACUGGCAAAUGGCUCUUCUAAAGAUAAUAUGUUCAUGAACAUCACUAUCAUUGUCAUCAUGAAAAACCAGAAAAAGGAAAAGAACAUUCAACUGACAUGGAAACGACUCAUUUUCUAUUUUAGGAGAAUGAACCAAUGAAGAGAGAAAGGUUGCAGACCUAGAAGAGGGGAAAAACUGAAGGAACAGGGUUCUGGAGAAGGUGAAGCAAGCUGAGGCUUCCCUAGCCCAAAGGAAAGUAUUACCUUUUACCUGGAUCAAGGACAAGAGGUUCAUUGUACUAAAAACAAGAAUCAAAAGUUAUGGAAGUAUAUAAAGUAGAAAGUGGAUGCUCCCAGGCCCACUAAUAGGAGAGAAUAAAUCAAGAAAGAGGAAGACAUAGAAUGCAGGGAAAGGAGAUCAACAGAAGAAAGGGCUGGCAAGACGCCACCAGAUGAUGUCAAUAGCGAUCCCAAAAUGACAGCCCUGUGUGGCAUAAAUGACAAUCAUUUCCAACUGCAGUUAGUCAAAAGACUCUGGAAAAAAUUUCCUCAGGUACAAUGUAAUGGCUAGAGUACCCCAGAUAAUUGCAAAGACUGUGUUGAAUGGCAUGUUCUCCAAAACUAGGGCAUAUGGACGGUGAAACUGGACAUCAUUGUAACACCAGACAAACAGGCAUAGACUGGGAUGAUGGUCACAGUGAUGUGAACAAAAUAGUAUGCAAGAAAAAAAAGUGACCCUAAUUUACUAGAUAGCAAACCUGAUAAUAUUCCUUAUAAUAAUGUGAACUCUGAAUAUUAAUCCAAACAAAAUUACAAAUUAACCAUAGUGGAAAGAUGAGAGCAUGGACAGGGUACACAGGUGUGGCGGGAAUGGCGGAAGAAAGAGAACGAAAUCCUCAUCUUCUACAGUGAGAAACUGAUAGAUAAUGCAUAAAACUGAAAAAUCAAGAAGUAGCGAAAUAAGCAUGUUAUUUAGAGACAAAAAGGCAAAUACAAAAUUCAGCAGCUAAAAUGGGUAAAUGUAGGGAAAAAAAAGAUGUACAGAGAAGAACAAGGAAUUGCAGUUUUUCAUAAUUAUUUGCCUAUUAAAGCUUUAUACAUUUCUAUCUUUGAUAUAAAUAAAAAGUAAAAAAACAAACAAAAAAAGAACAACAAAGGAAAGAUGGGAGAGAGGCAGGAAAGAAGGGAGAGAAGGAGAGAGCAACGUACUAAAAAUAUUAAUAGAAACGUCAAGUCCAAACUGUAUUUAACAGGAUUUCCCAAGGUAUAUUUAUUUUGUUUUGGUAACUUGCAGGCAAAAGGGCAGGCAAAGUCUAUAAAAUAAAUAACACUCCUUAAUCUUUACUGGAAUGGGAAAUGAGGGCAAGCCGAGAUGAUGCUGUAGCAUGCCUUGGAAACAUAUAUUCAGAAAGGAGUUAUUCAGCAGUAUUUGUUUUCAAAGCCAUGAAUGGUAGGUUUUUUAUUUUCUUAGCCAAGUUUUCAGUUACAAACAGAUGUUGUUGAGCAAUCUAGAAAAGGAAGUUGCAAAAAUAAUGGGGAAAAUAAAACCCAUCUACCGACACCUUUUCUUUCUCUGCUAUGUUCUUGCGGUUGCUAAUGCUUCAGCCUAACAGAUAUUGUCCUUAUGAAGACACCAACUGCCUGAUUGCAAUUUGAUUUUCAGAAAUCCUAACCAAGGUGUUCUGAUUUGACCUAAAGAAAACGUGGUGCAGAUGACAUCUUCUCAUCAUUGACUUACCCUCCUCAGGAGUUUGGGAAAAGGCCAUAUUAUCAUUUCCACCAGCGAUACACUUUACACAAAUCCCUAUAUGGAGGCUAUUACCAGAGGCUGCUUCCUGGUAGAUGUAUAUUCCUGGGGCCCCAAAACUCUCUGUUAUAGGUACACAUUUUCUCACCUUCUCUGAGUGCAUUUCUUAUAAAAGCAAGAAAAAUUGAUAGGUACAAAGACUCUCAGUUGGCACCAAAUCCUAAUAAGGGUGUCUAUAGCACUAUUUUUUUAUAGGACUCCAUUAUAAAACAUUUACUAACUCAAUCCCAAUCUUUGAACUCGAAAAUAGAGAAACAACCUAAUUUAGUGUCAACAAUUGCUAUAGAUAGUGGGCUCCACAGAGAGCCGUCCCCUGCUUCCACUAGCACAGCGGAACCAACACAGCAGGACAGGAAAGCAAGACACAUAUAGAACGAAAUUCUUACUCCGUGAGUGUCUAGCUGUGUAAUUUUUGAGAUAUUUAACCACUCUGAACCUUAGUCUCUUUAUCUGAAACAUAAAGAAGGUAAGGCCUUCUUUACUAUGCUCUACCAUAAUAAGGCUCUUACUUAAGGAAGUCAUUCAACAAAUAUUAGAGUUCCCUUUCCUCUUAUUUCUUGGCGCCUAGGGAAAGAGUGUGCAGGCGUCAUCCCUACUUUUCCUUUUACACGACCCAGGUUCCACGCUCUCUCCCUUAUUUGGGAUACAAGAAGAAAGUGAAAAAAUUGGCCUGAGAAAGACCACCCUUGUGUGCUUGCAUUCAAUUCACAUUAGAGGAUUUGGAAAAUCACUUCAACUCCCUAGGUUCUGUUCUUUCACUCUUGAAUCUGGACAUCGUUAAACCAUUGGCAGAGAUAUUUUUCUAGUGACAUUGUCAAUUCAAAGGCUAGCCAGGGCCAGCUGGACUGCCUUUUUAGGGAAGAGUCUCUUAACAGAGAUUGUGUGAUAAUGGUAACUCAUUGGGGUCGCUUGUCAGGAACGUUAGGAGGAAAGGCAGUGAAGAAAAACCAUAAACCAUGUCAGAGAUAUGGAAAAUUUGGGGAUCAAAUUUUUUCAUAAAUUAGCAGAUUAUAAUCAGGAAUUCCUCAUCUUUUCUCCUUGGAUGUCAUCUAUAAUGUGAUCUUGCUCUUGUGUAGAAUAGAAUACACAAAAAUCUUAGGACCUGGAAAAAUUUUAGAGAUCCUUAAAAGAGAUAACCCCAAUUUACAAAUAUAGAAACUAUUCACAGAGAUCAAGAGCCUCUCCAACAUAGUACAGCUUAUUAGUGGUGGAUCCCAUUUCUAUCCAUGCACUUUUCUCUUUAGUUUAUAUAUACCAGUGUGUAUGAAAACUUAUUUUUGUGUACUGUAGAUUUAUGUCACUGUAUUGUUCUACUUUUUAGGAAUUAGCUAAUUGGCUUUACAGUUAUUUUCAGGAACUCUCAACAAAAUUCAUGCUUUCUAUUUAGGUGAGACAUUUUAAAGGGUGAAUGUACAAGGAGAGGCUGGGUGUUUUGAGAAUCCAAACAGAAAAUAAGGAAAUUGUCUGACACCUUGUUGCUAACUCUUGAAAUAAAAAUGAGACUACUGCUUCCCUCCUCUUAUGGUUCUUAGGUUCUUCUUUGAAUUUAGAAAUGUGAAAGAUGAUUUGCUAAAACCCAGAAAGUUGCUAUGCAACCUACAUAUGAAAUUAUUUCUCCCAACCUUUAAUCCUGAGGAUCUAUAAUUCUGCUAUUUAAGAAACAAACAUGCCAUGUCAGAAGGAAGGAGAAUAUAACAGUAGACAUCUGAAUCAACUAUCAAUCUACUUUUCCAGCUUGUCAUGGCUCCUUAGACUGUUCAAGGAAACCUCACAAAUGGAAUUGAUUUACCAUAAAAUGUGCCUAUUUUCCAUUAAAGCUUGUUCGUUGCUUCACAAGGCACCGGAGUUACCAACGUUUCAUUGGUUGACCCUGCAGGGCCACCUCCAGGUCUUGUUAGUCCAGAAAAUGAACCGUGCAUAAGAGAGGCUUGGAGGGAGAAGUUUUAUUCGCAUCAGUUGUUCUGCACAUUGCUUAAACUAGAGACGUUAGCAGUUCCUUGAAGAGAGCAGCAUUAGUCAGACCCCUAGGGGAAAUAGAGAGAAAUGGAACUUACUCUGUCACAUGCUUGAUAGAAACAUGUCAGUUGAGACAGGCAUAGAGCAGGACAUAAGAAAUCUGUUUUCAAAGCUUCAGUGGAAUGGGUGAAGGCGUUAGAGCCCUUCGGAUCCUGGUUAAAAGUCCAGAGCUGCUACGUACCUAUUGUAUGACAUUGAUGAAGUCAACCUUCAAAAUUCACCUCCUUCAUGCAUUGAAUGGGCAUAUGUUAACUCAAGAAGUUGUUAUGGGAAUUAAAUAAAAUAACAUAAGUAAGGUGCUCAUUCCAGAUGGGGUCAUCAGUGUGUACACAAUUAAUGCCAGCAAUCCUAAUAAUUAUGAUGCUGAUGGUUAUUAUUCUAAUCCAGGCACUGCAAUUUACCAGUUAUAUGUCCGUGGGUGAGGAAUUCUGAGUUUCAUUUUCUUCCAUUGGAAAAUAAGGAGAAUAGUAUUUACCUUGCAGUGUUGUUUUGAGAACCAGGAAUGGUAGCCUUAGUAUCUAGCCUAGCACAGGCAGAUUCUUGAUGACUUGUUUGUAUUGUUUUCAUUACCACCUAUUAUUUAUAUAAUAAUCUGAUUCAACUUGAGAGAACUCAUAUUUUUUGUAAAGGUUGGCUCUUCCUGAUAUGAUAAAUUUAUACACCAGUCCAUCUGAUAAAUGUUUACUCAAGAAUAGAUAAGAUUUCUCUGUUUCAUUAGCUCCUAUUCAAGCUCCCUUAGACAUAACUCCUCAAAAUUUGUGAUUGAAAAUCAAACCAGUGUCCUCUACUAUGAAUAAGGCUUAUCAGGGCCACUGUGAAAGGAACACACAAAAAAUUCCUCAGUUUAUGGAGAUACACACUGUAAGCAAUUUUGUCAAGGCAGAAAAAACAACUAGGAUUAAAAUGUCUAGAGAACAUUUUAUGCUCUUUGGCCUUGACCUUCUGAGUGUCUUAUUGUCACAUGCUGGUUUAUCAAUCAAAGAAGAAUGGGCUUUAUUCAACUAGCAUUCUGCAGGACCUGUUAGCCAUCUAGUCUGCACACUCCGGACACCAGAAUCUUAUUCAGUUAUCAGUUGGAUCCACAUGGUUACAGCACAUCUUUUAAACAAUGCCAAAAUGCUUUUUUUUUUUAAUUGAGAAAAAAAAAGAAGAUAGUUGAGAACACAGAGCUCAAAAUAUGCAAGAACAACAUGUAGUUUCUUUAGAAAUCCUGAGUUCUGUUUUUUUGGCUCUGCAGUGCCAGUCCACUUCCCCACCUCUCCCUACCAAUUUAACCCUCCUUAGCGUCUGUGGCUUAAAGGUUCCUACACCAGUAUUGAAGUUGUCCUUCUGGAGAUCUGUCCAAGGCUCUGGGAUCCUAAAAACUCUACUUUUGAUCUUGGCUAAUCUGUUCUCAACCAGACAUAUGCUUCCAAAUAAUAUUUGCAAAUUAGUUGAUAAAGAUGAACCUCCCCUUUAGGGAAGUUAGGCCUCUUCAACUAUUCUAUUAUGCGUCAGUUUAGGUGUCUUAGCCUGGGGUUCUCCAAUAAAAGAUAGAGCCCAUGACAAGGGGAAAGUAAAUUGGGGGUAAUUAAUCCUAAGGAAUAAGAGUAAGGGGCUUGGUAGAGUGAAAUUGGGAAGAGAAAGUAAACCAAGGUUGUCUUAUCAAACUGGUCAUUGCUGUGGGCAACUGGCCUUGAUCCUGCUAGAGACUCUCUGAGAAGCCAUGCAGAAGGUGAUUCAGAGUUGUUCACUUGAGGGAUGAAAGAGUGGAUGAUUUGUCCAGUUUCCCAUCCUCCACUGGUCAAGGGUUGCCCUCAGUGAGAUAUUAACAUUUUCUCCCUUUUGGGUUUUUCAUGUAGCAGAAUGACUGGCCAGGUUCCCACAGGCACGUCACUCGGGCUGUGACAGAGAAGCCCAGGACAGAAAACAGCUUCACGGUGCAGCUAAGAUAAGGUACAGUCUGCUUUCCCCCGCCACGGCUGGUUGUCAUAGCAAUGACUGGAGUAAAAUGAUUUAUUCUAAGGUAAUGUAAAGCAGGUCACAGAGGUGACCCUGUUGCUCAUAUGGCCUCAAUGGCAUGACUCACAUUAAUAUGAUACUCUUCAAUAUUUUUAUCAACUCUCACAGACUGUAAACAAAACCUCAUCACUUCCAUUCCAAAGCCUGAAUCCUGUUUUGGUGAGAGAUAUAGCUCUUUCAACAGUUAAUGCAUGUUUUUAAAACUUCCCAUGGAGCCACCUCACAAACUGGUUUGGAAUUACACAUUUUAAAAGUGAAUUUUAAAAACAUUCAUUGAACAGUUAUUAUGCUAGGUCUUUUUGAAGACAGGCAGAAUACAAAAAGAACAAAACAUGGUAACUUCCCCCAAGGAGUUCAUUGACUACUCAGGGGAGAUGAGAUAAGACAGAUAAUUGAAAAAGUUGAAUGAAGCUAAUAGAAUAGGAGCAAUAUUGAAUGUAUCCUGAAUGUGUAGCAAUUACUCAGCAAGUAGUAGUCAAUGCUACAGGAUCCUACCCAGGUAUCUGGAAACAAGACAGACAAUCUGACAUAGAUGGAAACAAACAUGGAUACAAAUACAUAGAAAUGGUGGAUAAAAUAUAAUUAAUUUGUUUUAAAUAGCUCUUACCCAAAGAAGAAAAUAGCUAUUUCCAGAAGCCAAAAAUAAAAACUGCCCUCAG